CCCCAGCGCCACGAGUGGGAGCCACAAUUAUUUGGCCUAAAGCGUCCGUAGCUGGUUUUGUAAAUCUUUUGUGAAAUCGGAAAGCUUAACUUUCCGGCGUGCAGAAGACACUGCAUUACUUGAGACCGGGAGGGGUAAGGAGUAUUUCCAGGGAACCGGUAAAAUGGGAUAAUCCUGGAAGGACUACCUGUGGCGAAGGCGCCUUACCAGAACGGGUCUGACAGUGAGGGACGAAGGCUAGGGGAGCGAACCG
rnacentral:rRNA from 1 species